rnacentral:lncRNA from 1 species
GGGGUCAACGCGAACCUUGAAAGGAUCCAUCGGGAUGCCGAACGUUUGAGACUGCCCUCCAAGCUCCAAGUUGAAGCCACAACAAACCGACAGACCGACGCUACUAUUGUUCGAAGAGAUGUCCUAGGAAGAGACGAGAAUGAAUCAGAAAUAGUUGAGAAGUUGUUGACCGAAUCUGAAAGUGAUCGUGUUUCAGUUAUUUCCAUAACUGGCAUGGGUGGUUUAGGCAAAACAACUCUAGCUAAAGCCGUUUUCAACACUCCACAAUUUGAUAAUGAUUUUGACAAAAAAUUUGGGUUUGUGUGGCUGAAGAAGUAGAUAGAAUCGAGAAGGUCUUCAAAAUGAUUCUUGAAUCGUUAACAGGAGGAAAGGUUGAAGGGGAUAAUAGGCAAGUAAUAGUUCAAAAAAUUCAAGAUGAACUCAAGGAGAAAAGAUAUUUGCUUGUCCUUGAUGAUUUGUGGAAUAAUAAUCAAGAUGGAUUGUUGGAUGACUUUUUCAACACUUUGGCGGGACUCAAUGCGAAGAAAGGGAGCUGGUGUCUUGUUACUUCUCGGCUGCAAGAAGUGGAAACUAUUCUGUCUAGACAUCCGCAGAUCAAUUUUACUCGCCAUGAGCUGGGAAGGCUAUGCGAUGAUGUUUGCUGGUCUAUCGUGAAAAAUUGGGCAAAUGUAGGGGAAGAAGUACCAAGAGGAUUGGAAGACAUAAGGGAGCAAGUUUUAGGAAGAUGUGACGGUCUACCUCUAGCAGCAAAGUUAAUCGGAGGUUUGUUAUAUAUAUAAAAAGACAAAAGAGAGUGGCUAUCUAUUUUGAAGGAGAGUCUCUUGAAGGGUGGGACUGAGCAAAUAAUUAAGGUGAGUUUUGAUCAUCUGUCACCUGCACCGGUUAAGAAAUGUUUUGCAUAUUGCUCAAUAUUUGAUCAAGAUACUGAAUUGGAACAAGAUCUACUAGUUGAGCUUUGGAUGGCUGAAGGCUUUCUUCAACCGGAUUCCCAAAAUGAAAGAAUGAUGGAGAAAAUAGGAUGUGAGUAUUUGAGAAUUUUGCUGCAAACUUCCUUAUUGGAAGAAGUAAGAGAUUGGGAGGGGAACCUGGUAUAAAAUGCAUGACCUUGUGCACGAUUUUGCAAAAUCAAUUUUGAAUCAUAACAGCAGCAAUCAGGAGCGUUACCUUGCGGCAUCUGAAAGAAUGUUAGAAAACAUGAACGAAAACAAAUCAGCAUCACUUCGCACAUUAUUUCUGGAGGGUGGCAUAGCUGAUGAAAAGUUAUCUAAGUUCAAAUACUUGCAUGUCCUAAAAUUGUUUGGAGCAGAUGUCAAAGAGUUGCCGACCUCCAUUGGCAAACUAAUACAUUUACACUUGACAUUUCAGGUUCUUGGAUUAGAACUUUGCCAGAAUCUCUUUGCAAAC